CAGCGGCACUCUCAACCAGCCUUCCUUUCUUCAUCCUUCCAUUUCAUUUGGAAUCAAUCAAACCCUAAAUUGAUCGGCGAUGACGGCAGCAAGACGAGGGUAUGUAAGAAUCAUUUCAGGAACGAUUCUCGGUGGGAUCCUCGGAUUCUAUUUCAUGCACCGAGCCGAACUCAAGUACAAGGAGAUGUGGGAAGAGAGGUUGAAGAAGUACGAGGAAGAAAUCAAUAAGAGGAAUGACAUUGACACCUCAUCCAACCCCGGAAUAUAUUCGGUAGAAGAAUCACGGCCUUGACAGCACGACAACAUCAAGCACAACAGAAAUGGAGACAACGACGACGAUGUCGCAGAACAUCUGCAACGGCUUGCAGAAAUCCGGGCGCCGAAUGAUGGAUUCCGGUCCGGUUAAGAUUUGCAACGCCGGAUGCUGCCCGUUUUGUUAAUUUCUUACAAGAUUCAACACAUUAUUAUCGAUAAAAUAAAGUCCCAAGUUUUGUUCCUAAAUGUAUUUA